rnacentral:rRNA from 1 species
AUUGAACGCUGGCGGCAGGCCUAACACAUGCAAGUCGAGCGGAUGAAGGGAGCUUGCUCCUGGAUUCAGCGGCGGACGGGUGAGUAAUGCCUAGGAAUCUGCCUGGUAGUGGGGGAUAACGUCCGGAAACGGGCGCUAAUACCGCAUACGUCCUGAGGGAGAAAGUGGGGGAUCUUCGGACCUCACGCUAUCAGAUGAGCCUAGGUCGGAUUAGCUAGUUGGUGGGGUAAAGGCCUACCAAGGCGACGAUCCGUAACUGGUCUGAGAGGAUGAUCAGUCACAUUGGAAGUGAGACAGGGUCAAGACUCCUACGGGAGGCAGCAGUGGGGAAUAUUGGACAAUGGGCGAAAGCCUGAUCCAGCCAGGCCGAGUGUGUGAAGAAGGUCUUCGGAUUGUAAAGCCCUUUAAGUUGGGAGGAAGGGCAGUAAGUUAAUACCUUGCUGUUUUGACGUUAACAACAGAAUAAGCACCGGCUAACUUCGUG